UAGAGAGUAGAGGAGAGGUCCAUCCUCAUAGCAGUGAUAGGAGAGACCAUGUGAGGAUAUGACCAGUGACUUGGUCUAUAGAGAGAAGAGGAGAGGUACAUCCUCAUAGCAGUGAUAGGAGAGACCAUGUGAUGAUAUGACCAGUGACUUGGUGUAGAGAGAGAAGAGGAGAGGUCCAUCCUCAUAGCAGUGAUAGGAGAGACCAUGUGAUGAUAUGACCAGUGACUUGGUGUAGAGAGAGAAGAGGAGAGGUCCAUCCUCAUAGCAGUGAUAGGAGAGACCAUGUGAUGAUAUGACCAGUGACUUGGUGUAGAGAGAGUAGAGGAGAGGUCCAUCCUCAUAGCAGUGAUAGGAGAGACCAUGUGAUGAUAUGACAGAGCUGAGUGACUUGGUCUAUAGAGAGAAGAGGAGAGGUCCAUCCUCAUAGCAGUGAUAGGAGAGACCAUGUGAUGAUAUGACCAGUGACUUGGUCUAUAGAGAGGAGAGGAGAGGUCCAUCCUCAUAGCAGUGAUAGGAGAGACCAUGUGAUGAUAUGACCAGUGACUUGGUGUAGAGAGAGAAGAGGAGAGGUCCAUCCUCAUAGCAGUGAUAGGAGAGACCAUGUGAGGAUAUGACCAGUGACUUGGUCUAUAGAGAGUAGAGGAGAGGUCCAUCCUCAUAGCAGUGAUAGGAGAGACCAUGUGAUGAUAUGACCAGUGACUUGGUCUAUAGAGAGAAGAGUAGAGGUCCAUCCUCAUAGCAGUGAUAGGAGAGACCAUGUGAGGAUAUGACCAGUGACUUGGUCUAUAGAGAGAAGAGUAGAGGUCCAUCCUCAUAGCAGUGAUAGGAGAGACCAUGUGAGGAUAUGACCAGUGACUUGGUGUAGAGAGAGGAGAGGAGAGGUCCAUCCUCAUAGCAGUGAUAGGAGAGACCAUGUGAGGAUAUGACCAGUGACUUGGUCUAUAGAGAGUAGAGGAGAGGUCCAUCCUCAUAGCAGUGAUAGGAGAGACCAUGUGAGGAUAUGACCAGUGACUUGGUCUAUAGAGAGAGAAGAGGAGAGGUCCAUCCUCAUAGCAGUGAUAGGAGAGACCAUGUGAGGAUAUGACCAGUGACUUGGUCUAUAGAGAGAGAAGAGGAGAGGUCCAUCCUCAUAGCAGUGAUAGGAGAGACCAUGUGAGGAUAUGACCAGUGACUUGGUCUAUAGAGAGUAGAGGAGAGGUCCAUCCUCAUAGCAGUGAUAGGAGAGACCAUGUGAGGAUAUGACCAGUGACUUGGUCUAUAGAGAGAGAAGAGGAGAGGUCCAUCCUCAUAGCAGUGAUAGGAGAGACCAUGUGAUGAUAUGACCAGUGACUUGGUGUAGAGAGAGAAGAGGAGAGGUCCAUCCUCAUAGCAGUGAUAGGAGAGACCAUGUGAGGAUAUGACCAGUGACUUGGUGUAGAGAGAGUAGAGGAGAGGUCCAUCCUCAUAGCAGUGAUAGGAGAGACCAUGUGAGGAUAUGACCAGUGACUUGGUGUAGAGAGAGUAGAGGAGAGGUCCAUCCUCAUAGCAGUGAUAGGAGAGACCAUGUGAGGAUAUGACCAGUGACUUGGUGUAGAGAGAGUAGAGGAGAGGUCCAUCCUCAUAGCAGUGAUAGGAGAGACCAUGUGAGGAUAUGACCAGUGACUUGGUGUAGAGAGAGUAGAGGAGAGGUCCAUCCUCAUAGCAGUGAUAGGAGAGACCAUGUGAGGAUAUGACCAGUGACUUGGUGUAGAGAGAGUAGAGGAGAGGUCCAUCCUCAUAGCAGUGAUAGGAGAGACCAUGUGAUGAUAUGACCAGUGACUUGGUGUAGAGAGAGAAGAGGAGAGGUCCAUCCUCAUAGCAGUGAUAGGAGAGACCAUGUGAUGAUAUGACCAGUGACUUGGUCUAUAGAGAGAAGAGUAGAGGUCCAUCCUCAUAGCAGUGAUAGGAGAGACCAUGUGAUGAUAUGACCAGUGACUUGGUCUAUAGAGAGGAGAGGAGAGGUCCAUCCUCAUAGCAGUGAUAGGAGAGACCAUGUGAGGAUAUGACCAGUGACUUGGUCUAUAGAGAGAAGAGGAGAGGUCCAUCCUCAUAGCAGUGAUAGGAGAGACCAUGUGAUGAUAUGACCAGUGACUUGGUCUAUAGAGAGAAGAGGAGAGGUCCAUCCUCAUAGCAGUGAUAGGAGAGACCAUGUGAGGAUAUGACCAGUGACUUGGUCUAUAGAGAGAAGAGGAGAGGUCCAUCCUCAUAGCAGUGAUAGGAGAGACCAUGUGAGGAUAUGACCAGUGACUUGGUGUAGAGAGAGAAGAGGAGAGGUCCAUCCUCAUAGCAGUGAUAGGAGAGACCAUGUGAGGAUAUGACCAGUGACUUGGUCUAUAGAGAGAAGAGGAGAGGUCCAUCCUCAUAGCAGUGAUAGGAGAGACCAUGUGAGGAUAUGACCAGUGACUUGGUCUAUAGAGAGAAGAGGAGAGGUCCAUCCUCAUAGCAGUGAUAGGAGAGACCAUGUGAGGAUAUGACCAGUGACUUGGUCUAUAGAGAGAAGAGGAGAGGUCCAUCCUCAUAGCAGUGAUAGGAGAGACCAUGUGAGGAUAUGACCAGUGACUUGGUGUAGAGAGAGAAGAGGAGAGGUCCAUCCUCAUAGCAGUGAUAGGAGAGACCAUGUGAGGAUAUGACCAGUGACUUGGUCUAUAGAGAGAAGAGGAGAGGUCCAUCCUCAUAGCAGUGAUAGGAGAGACCAUGUGAGGAUAUGACAGAGCUGAGUGACUUGGUGUAGAGAGAGAAGAGGAGAGGUCCAUCCUCAUAGCAGUGAUAGGAGAGACCAUGUGAGGAUAUGACCAGUGACUUGGUCUAUAGAGAGUAGAGGAGAGGUCCAUCCUCAUAGCAGUGAUAGGAGAGACCAUGUGAGGAUAUGACAGAGCUGAGUGACUUGGUGUAGAGAGAGAAGAGGAGAGGUACAUCCUCAUAGCAGUGAUAGGAGAGACCAUGUGAGGAUAUGACCAGUGACUUGGUGUAGAGAGAGAAGAGGAGAGGUCCAUCCUCAUAGCAGUGAUAGGAGAGACCAUGUGAGGAUAUGACAGAGCUGAGUGACUUGGUGUAGAGAGAGAAGAGGAGAGGUCCAUCCUCAUAGCAGUGAUAGGAGAGACCAUGUGAGGAUAUGACAGAGCUGAGUGACUUGGUCUAUAGAGAGAGGAGAGUAGAGGUCCAUCCUCAUAGCAGUGAUAGGAGAGACCAUGUGAGGAUAUGACCAGUGACUUGGUCUAUAGAGAGGAGAGGAGAGGUCCAUCCUCAUAGCAGUGAUAGGAGAGACCAUGUGAGGAUAUGACCAGUGACUUGGUGUAGAGAGAGUAGAGGAGAGGUCCAUCCUCAUAGCAGUGAUAGGAGAGACCAUGUGAUGAUAUGACCAGUGACUUGGUGUAGAGAGAGAAGAGGAGAGGUCCAUCCUCAUAGCAGUGAUAGGAGAGACCAUGUGAUGAUAUGACCAGUGACUUGGUCUAUAGAGAGAAGAGGAGAGGUCCAUCCUCAUAGCAGUGAUAGGAGAGACCAUGUGAGGAUAUGACCAGUGACUUGGUCUAUAGAGAGAGUAGAGGAGAGGUCCAUCCUCAUAGCAGUGAUAGGAGAGACCAUGUGAGGAUAUGACCAGUGACUUGGUGUAGAGAGAGUAGAGGAGAGGUCCAUCCUCAUAGCAGUGAUAGGAGAGACCAUGUGAGGAUAUGACCAGUGACUUGGUGUAGAGAGAG